UACGUAGGGUGCGAGCGUUGUCCGGAAUUAUUGGGCGUAAAGGGCUCGUAGGCGGUCUGUCGCGUCAGGAGUGAAAACUCGGGGCUUAACCCCGAGCCUGCUUCUGAUACGGGCAGACUAGAGGUAUGCAGGGGAGAACGGAAUUCCUGGUGUAGCGGUGAAAUGCGCAGAUAUCAGGAAGAAUAUCCGUGGCGAAGGCGGCUCUCUGGGACGGUACUGACGCUGAGACGCGAAAGCGUGGGGAGCGAACAGG
rnacentral:rRNA from 1 species